rnacentral:snoRNA from 1 species
AAAAAAUGAUGAUUUGUUGUUAAAAUGAAUAACUUUCAUGAUUUGACCAACAAAUUUCCUCUAAGAAGAUCUGAUUU